UUAGAGUUUGAUCCUGGCUCAGGAUGAACGCUGGCGGCGUGCCUAACACAUGCAAGUCGAACGGAUAUGCAUUAAAAACGAGUGCUUGCUUUCCUGAAGGAUGUAUCUUAGUGGCGGAUGGGUGAGUAACGCGUGUGUAGCCUGCCCCAUACCGGGCGAUACCACUGGCAACAGGUGCUAAUACAGCAUAAGCGCAUAGGAGCUGCAUGCUCAUGUGUGAAAAACUCUCGGUGGUAUGCGAUGGACCCGCGUCUGAUUAACCAGUUGGCUGGGUAUCGGCCUACCAUAGCGACGAUCAGUAGCCGGCCUGAGAGGGUGGAUCGGCCACAUGGCGGAGAUGAGACACGGCCCAAACUCGUACGGGAGGCAGCAGUGGGGAAUAUUGCACAAUGGGGCAAAGCGUGAUGGAGCACCACCGCGUGGGUCAAGAAGGUGUUCGGAUGGUAAAACCACUGUUGUUAGAGAAGAAAGUGAGUGAGAUUAACUGUUCAGGUUUAGACGGUAUCUAACCUGAAAACCACGGCUAACUACGUGCCAGCCGCCCGCGGGUAAUACGUAGGUGGCCAGCGUUAUCCGGAUUUAUUGGGGGUAAAGGGAAGGCAGGCGGUCUUUUCAGUUUGAUAUGAAAGCCUUGGGCUUCACCGCAGUAGUGCAUUGGAAACUGGGAGACUUGAGUGCCGAAGAGGAGAGUGGAACUUCAUGUGUAGCGGUGAAAAGCGUAGAUAUAUGGAAGAACCCCAGUGGCGAAAGCGACUUUCUGGUCUGUAACUGACGGUGAGGUUUGAAAGCGUGGGUAGCAAACCGGAUUAGAUACCCUGGUAGUCCACGCCGUAAACGAUGAAUGCUAAGUGUUGGAGGGUUUCCGCCCUUCAGUGCUGCAGAUAACCCAAUAAUCAUUCCGCUGGGGGGGUAGGUCGGCAGGGUGGAAAUUCAAAGGAAUUGCGGGGGGCCCCCCCAAGCGGUGGACCAUGUGUUUUAUUUGGAGGCAACGGGAGGACCUUUACCAGGUCUGGAUCUCUUUUGACAAUCCUAGAGAUAGGCCUUUCCUUUGGGGGACAAAAUACCAGGUGGUCCAUGGUGUUCUUCAGUUGGUGUGGUGAGAUGUGGGGUUAAUUCCCGCAACGAGCGCACCCCUUCUUGCUAGUUCCCGGCAGUAAGUUGGGCCCUUUAGCAGGACUGCCGGGGACCAACCGGAGGAAGGGGGGGAAGACGUCAAAUCAUCCUGCCCCUUAUGGCCUGGGCUACCCCCGUGGUUCAAUGGACGGUACAGCGAGUGGCAAGACCGCGAGGUUUAGCAAAUCUCUAAAAUCCGUUCUCAGUUCGGAUUGCAGCCUGCAACUCGCCUACAUGAAGUUGGAAUCGCUAGUAAUCGCGGAUCGGCAUGCCGCGGUGAAUACGUUCCCGGGCCUUGCACUCAAGGCCCGUCA
rnacentral:rRNA from 1 species